CAUAAACAUUCGGACAUAUUUUUUGUGUGAAGUUUAGAGUAGGAAUCUCUCAAUCGAGAACGCCAAGGCAAUACUGUAUUUCAGAUGAAUUUCGAUUUAUGUCAAAAAUGGAUAUAAUAAUGGAUAUAAUGAUAAGAUUUGAUUCAGAACAAAAACAAAUCAAUUAGAUAAACGAAAUUCAAGAAACUGGGUAUGCAGUCUAGAGAUAACGCUUCCACUUCGUAUGCGAAAUAUCAUGAUGCUCGAACCUAUUAAAUUAAUCGCUUCCUAAUUCAUUCAACUCAAACCUUAUCUAAAACUUUAUGGAACACGUCCCGGGCUUUUAAGGUUUCCCCUUGUUUCUAAAAUAGAUCAGCUGGUCUUCAAUAGAUCAAAUAAAAUGUGCAUAAGAUUCAUGGCAAAUUGAACAUAAAAUCGCCUUAAAUUUGUUAGAAUUGUCUACCAGCACUUUGAAUGUUUGACUUGAUAAAACUUUUCGUGGGAGCUACAUUUCAAUUCGCUAAUAGAAUAAGGUUGUAAAUUAUUUAACUUUUACAUAUAUUAGGAAUUUAUGUUCAACUUAUUGAUUUAAUACAGAUGUUUAAAACUUCAAAAAAACACAUGGUUGAAAUAGAUUUCCUCAUCUUAUUGCAUCAGCGGAAAACCCCUCCCACUAAAAGGUUUUUUUUUUCCAACAGACAGGAAGUGUCGUUACAACUUUAUAACGUCUAUAACAUCACAUCCUUAAAGAAACCAACCGUCAUCAUCAUAUAUUCUUUGAUGGUUCCGAACCAAACAAUGCACAAAUAAGUACGCAAAACGGAACUAGUGAGAAAAGAGCCAAAAGUCUGCCAAAAGAGCAAAAUGAAAUACACCAGCAAAAUCGUCGUGUUUUUUUCCAGUUCGGAACCCGAAGACAACAAGUGUGGAGUACACAAUAAAGUGAACGGUUCCAAGAGAAAAGCAAUAAGCAACGAUAUCUUCCCUCUUUGAAAACUGGGUAGCAAACGAGAGAGUACGAAGGGAAAACCACACCUCCAAAAUCGUGGCGACGAGUAAUCGGAGUAUUUUCAUCAUCCUCGUACAGCAAAAAGCCAUUCCCAGGUCGUCUUACCCAUUGUGUGAGUUUGAGCAUGUCCUGAUCAUGGUGAAAAGGACUGCGAUGUUAAUUACUCCUUGAGAACUUCCGCUCAUCAAUCCUGGAGAGAUCGCGAGCAUGAUCUUUGGGAGAAUAUUCUCACCGUUUGGCAACAUAUAUAAACUCUGUUUUUAUACAGUUCAUUAGAAAAUAAAAGGUUGAAACAUAGUAGGA